rnacentral:tRNA from 1 species
GUGGCUAUAGCUCAGGAGUAGAGCGUGUGCUUAGUAUGCACGAGGGCCUGGGUUCAAUACCCCGUACCUCCU